UGAAGUCCUAUAUAGGCCCUGGUGCCCAUCUGGCCAGUACUUACCCAUGGACACCACAGUGUGAAGUGUACUGGCAUGUAGAACUCCUCCUAUACAGAACGCCAGGCCAUCAGAGGUUACUUCCCCAGCCAAGAAUCAAAGCGAAAGAAUUGAACUCAGGUCUACGUAUUGAUAGUCCAACUCCUAUACCACAGAACCACCUGUUGUACAGGCAUAGGAGCUGGACUACAAAUAGAGAGACUAAGGUUCAAUUGCUUGAAUAAGAUACUUUAUCUGCAUUGUCCCAGUCUAUUCAUCUGUAAACGGGUUUGGGCCUUGGCUGGGGAAGUAACCUCUGUUUCACUGGUAUCCCAUUUAGGGGAAAUCCAAGACUUCAAUCUGCAUCCCACUACGGUAUCCAUAAUAAGCACCAGCCCACUUGGCCUUAGGGCCUGCAAUGGAAUUACAACGUAUGUCUUUCUUUCAAAGACACAGAGGUAUUCAGCAAAUUGUCCCUGAAUGACAAAGGGGAUUUCUUCUUGUGCAUCACACCACAACAAAUAGAGCACUGAACUACUAGAUAAGUAAAUAAUUUGACUAUUAAUCACAGGUCUGAAAUUUCCCUCAUUUUGGAUGAGCAACAACUUGACCAAAAUAAUAAUAAUAAUAAUAAUAA